GUCAAACUUUGGUCGUUCCCCCUUCGAUGGUUCCGCCCCGCACGGGCCAACUAGACCAGGCCCAUCACAACGCAAUACACAUCCCGUCGCCUCCUUCCCGAGAAAUCCUCAUCCCGUCGCCUCCCUCUCGUCGCCCUCCGCUCCGCCGCGCCCUCGCCGCCGUCGUCCGUCGACAGCCACCACGUCCUCGCUCCACCACGUCCUCGCUCGCGUCGCCUGCUCCGACGCUCGCUCACCAGCCUACUUCCUUCCCCUCGCCUCUCCGCCUUCCAUCAUCCGCACAAUCAUAACCCAACGAGGAGGAAAGGGAUCCCCUUUUCUGCAAAGCGCUCAAAUUUGCCGGCUCGGGCGGCGGUGCUCCGCCGCUCCUCUUCCUUUCAUAUGACUACGGCCUGUGUCGCCGCGCCGCUCUCCCGUGGGCACCAGAGUCGCCGCUUGGAGGAGGGUCGGGCCGUCCUAGGUCCCCAGAUGUGGUCGCCGGGGAGGAAAAGCGGCGCACCUCCCGACGCCCGCGACACCACAAGUCUGUGAUGGCACAGCGCGCCCACGGCUGGGUGUUCGACAUCGACGAGACGCUGCUCUCGAACCUCGCCUAUUACGUGCAGCACGGAUAAGGACUCCUAGACGGUGAUUCAGGCAUCGACCUUCAUCUCACCGGAAAAGAAGUGGUGGCAGCCAAUUGACACGCUAAAACAAUGAUCAUCCACUUGACCCGUUUUUUGUAUUUUGAGUGGCUGCAAAUAGUCUAUAUUUCUUUUCCUUGCAACGUUUUGUAUUCAUAUAUCGGUUCAUAGAGUGGUGCAUUCGUUCAUGUUAGUUUAGACUAAUUGAUGUAGCUCAUCUUAUCUGCAGGCAAUAUAUUCGUGAGAGAAGCUGGAAUUCCUUUGUGAUGAUGAAACGAACUUCUCAGAUUCAGUUUCUCUAGCUUUAUUCACCAACAUAAAAAGCCUUAAGCAUUGUGAAUUGCGAUUAUAGUUUGCUGUACAUGGGAUUGCGGGGUUUUUCUAGACAUUAUAUCUUCUUAAUUUAUACCAAUUUGAUAAUGGAGAGGGAUUACUUCUUGCUGGUAAAUUGGAUUGGCUGUUUUUGGAUAGAUCUAAUCUUGACAGCACUUCCUGUGAUGAAUCUAGGUAAUUAUUCUUCAAGUUGUUCAUUUUCUUCCCGGUCAUGUAUGAAUCAAGCUUUUCUUGUGUGUUCACAGUAGUUUUGUGGGGUGGAAGAAAAUAAUGUAUACUUAUUCUCAGUUACCUCUUGAA